GCAUGCAGCAGCCAUUCAUCGAUGCAGACGCACACGUUUCCACACCUCACGAACACCGUGCUCUAGCGAGCCUAAUCGUUCCACCAGUAGCUCCUCACGCCUUGCGCUCUCCACGAUGUCGUUAGACUUCCACUGACUCACGAACGCUCACGUGCAGCCCUCGUCGCCUCACCUCCUCCUCUCUUCUCGCCUUCCCUCUUUGGUGCGACCAUCGCUCUUUCUGUGUCUCUGUGCACCCCGAUGGCGAGAGGACGCACACCUCUCAGCACGUGGUGUCUCAGGGCUCAGUAUCCCUCCCCCCUCUUUCUGUGAGGAGAGGUCAAGCAGCCUUCCUCUAUAACGCUGCCAAAAUGCCGGACAACUUCGUGUAGUGACAAGCCCAAGCACCUGCGGCGCCGAGGGAAGGUACGAUCUGCUCAUCGCUGCUGAUGUCGGCGCCCGGGUUGUGGAUGGCGUUGCGUCGGACCAUAUCUGCGGCCUCGAACAUGCUUGUGGUAUCCGUACAAUUAGGCAAAGUGUCAAGACGACCCGAGCGUAUCUCGCGCAACCCCUCGCACGGCCCCCCUGGCUAGGGUGCCUGCGCGCCACCCGGAGGGAUGCAGUACGGCGCCGCCGGUGAAGCAAUGCGUGGGUGGGUAGCGCUCGAGUCAGAGGCCAUGCUCUCCAAUGACCGAACCCGCGCAUUGCUGUACCGCAUGUGUCUACUACGGCACUGCAGCACGCGACGGGACCUGGUGACUGGGCCGCCCGUAGCGUGGAGGGGACCUCAUGCUCUAUGGCACAGAAUGGCCAGGUCGAGGCGAAAACGCCCAUGGAGACUUCAGAAGCCUCGCCAGCGCUCCUUUAGAACUGACCGCACUCUUUCCCUUUCUCCAUCUCAG
rnacentral:misc_RNA from 1 species